GAACGCUAAAAACCGAAUUUUUACCAUGAGUUCUUCUGCCUUUUACGGUAUGAUAAUGAAGUAUCUAGAUGAAAUAAAAAUGUUUUUACGCGGCACAAGAAGGAGAAUAUUUUAAUUUUCGCUCGAAUCCAUGAAAUUUGAAUUUCUUGAUUAAUUUCUUGACGAGUCAAAGAAUUAUUUCCGAACUAUAAUUUGAUAUUUAUGUACAUAAAAUUGUUACUUUAAAAUCGUCGAUAUCGCAGAAGUUUAAUCUAAGAAGAAUCGAUAUUCUAUGGAUAAAGAGCUUUUAGUGGAUGAAGUUCACCACUGUCUUUCGCCUAAUAUUGCAUUGUUACCAAUAACCGACACGCUAUCAAACUCACAAGUAGAUGCGCAUUAUAAAUGCUUGGACCUCAGAAAGGAAAAAUGUCGAACAGUUGUCACGGGACAAAAAGCAAAGAACAAUCGGUGCUUCUCAGUGCAAAAUAGUUAAUACAAGGUAUAUAACAAGCUAGCUGGAUAAUUCGCAAUAAUGAUCGGCUCUAACGGUAUAUUACCACAUAUGCGUAUGUAUAUCGACGUUCGGUCAGCAAAUGUUUCCACGAUCAAAUAUUGCGCGGCCGUGGUUUAAUCGGCGCGAGUUGGAACGAGAGUGGUGCGACAGCUUUUUAAUAUCACGCCGUGUGCUGGCGAACAGACAGCCGGCUCGAAUCGUCACGAAUCACGUGGGUGCAUCGACUGACAUUUCACCUGGCAUUCAACAGGAAUUUUACCUGGCCACUAACCGAGCCAUCGCGAUCUCCUGCAUACAGUAUCGGCCGCCUUGAACAAGACUUUUUAUCCGACGGGCUUUGGAACGUGUUUACCGAUCAUCGUUCAGCGCCUUAUGGUGUGCGAGAUUGAUGUAAUUCUCGUUCGUAACAGAUGUUCCAUGUAACGGAACUUCUUCUGAGUUUAAGGGGAUCGAAUGAAAAACUGUAUAUCGAAACGUGAAGUAACAUCAUUCUGGAAUCAUACAAUCGGAGAUAGAUAACCUUGAACAGGUGAAAAUCGACACACACAUUGACCUGAAUUGGAGAACUCGAUAAAAGGGGCUUGAAAUGUAUGAAAAUCGAUAAAGCCUUAGCAUGCGAUGAACUUAUAUUGAAUGAAAUCAUUGAGGUCACUUGAUUCCUAUACUAUUAUCAGGAAUAUUAUUUGAAGUAUAGGUAAAAGUAUUUAUUCGUGUUAUCACAAUUGCUGAUAAAUUUAAUUGAUUAAUUGAUAGAUAUGUCGAUAAUAAUACAAUCGCGGAUGAGAUAUGGAACAUGAACCUAAUAUUCGAUGCAUAACGAAUUUUUGUAAAUUAUUCCAAUGAUCGUCUAAUUUAAAAAAGUUGGUACUCCCGAACUAAUGGAAAGCAUGACGUGCAUAAAUGGGAAAAAUCGUAAUUUUCAAGUUCCUUUAUUUUGAAGCUAAUUAAAAUAGUUUGACAUAUAUAUAUCAUAUAAUGAUUCAAAUAAGUGCUAUUAAAUACGUACGAGCUGAGCAAAUUAUAAAACAAAUUUGAUAUGUGCAGUUCGGUAGACUGACUAGCAUAGACGUUUCGAAAUCCAUAACUUCAUAAAUGUAGUCAUUUUUUAAUCAAUUACAGGUAAUAAUUAAUAUCGAAAAACUUUCAAUGUUACACAAACAAACCUUUUCCUUAAGAUGAGUAUAUUGGUCAUCCAUCUCAUGUUAUCCAUGUACAUUACAAUUUAUAAACAACAGCAGACAUAUGUGGCCACUUGUUUAGCUUGUUCGAAAUUCCUUUUUCUUCAGAUUUACAUCCACAUAAAUAUUUACGACGCGAUGAUGUGUAUGGGUCGAUGACUGCGACUCCAUCAAGAUUAUUUAUUACAAUUCGCCAUAUGUGACAAUAAAUUCAUGCAUAGCUAAUGCUUUCCUCUCUUUAGCUUGAACUAUAUUCAUUUUACAAGAGAAAGAUAAUAUACGAAUAGAUAUACGUCACAAACACUAGGGUUUUUGCUAGCUUGCAAUGUGUUGUGUAUUUUUCAUAGUAACAGAAGGAAUGUAACUAGUAUAAUAUUGUGUCUGUGGAAUUUUUAACAUUAAUAAUUCUUUAUAUUA